rnacentral:rRNA from 1 species
CGUGCAGGCGGUCCGGUAAGUUGGAUGUGAAAUCUCCUGGCUCAACUGGGAGAGGACGUUCAAUACUGUCGGACUAGAGGACGGCAGAGGGAGGUGGAAUUCCCGGUGUAGUGGUGAAAUGCGUAGAUAUCGGGAGGAACACCAGUGGCGAAGGCGGCCUUCUGGGCCGCUCCUGACGCUCAGACGCGAAAGCUAGGGGAGCGAACGGGAUUAGAAACCCCGGUAGUCCUAGCUGUAAACGAUGUAGACUUGGCGUGGGUGGGGUAAAAUCCAUCGGUGCCGAAGCUAACGCGAUAAGUCUACCGCCUGGGGACUACGGCCGCAAGGUUAA